rnacentral:tRNA from 1 species
UCCGAUUUAGCUCAGUCUGGUUAGAGCGUCCGCAUCCAAAACAUCAGCGGGAGGUCAGGGGUUCAAAUCCUUUAAUCGGAA